UACGUAGGGCGCAAGCGUUGUCCGGAAUUAUUGGGCGUAAAGAGCUCGUAGGCGGCUUGUCACGUCGGGUGUGAAAGACCGGGGCUUAACCCCGGUUCUGCAUUCGAUACGGGCUGGCUAGAGUGUGGUAGGGGAGAUCGGAAUUCCUGGUGUAGCGGUGAAAUGCGCAGAUAUCAGGAGGAACACCGGUGGCGAAGGCGGAUCUCUGGACAGUUCCUGACGCUGAGGCACGAAGGCCAGGGGAGCAAACGGG
rnacentral:rRNA from 1 species